rnacentral:ncRNA from 1 species
GACCGAUGCCAAAAUGCCGGAUAUCCAGUCGGGGUAUGAAAAAGGCAUAACCACGGUGAUGGCCGGUCUGGCCGGUGGCAACUUGAUAUACGAAGCUG